rnacentral:piRNA from 1 species
UGAAAUUUGUUCAUUCUUUCAAAGCCU